AGGGAGGCCUGGGCUGGAGCGGAGCCGCCUCCGCGUCGCGUGGAAACUUGAAACUCCCGCUGGUGCCAGAAAGCUCGCCCGGGGCGCCUCUGCCGCCCCCCCAAGGAGGACUUCUCCCCAGAGAUCAAAUUACAUAAGUACAUAAUUCAUAAAGUGUUCGAAGAUAUGCGCAUAUUAGUCUUCAACUAAGACAAGCCAGAUGCCAUGUCAAGAGGAUGCUCAAGCAACUCAUGGUGAGGCCCACAUGAUGAGAAAUAGAGGCUUCCUGCCAGGAGCAGCAAGGAUGGGAGACCUUAUACCAAGAGCCGUGAGAGUGAGCCUCUGUGGAAGCAAAUGAAUCUUCCGACCCCAGUCAAGACUUCAGAUGACGACAGCCCCUGCCAACAUUCUGACUAUCACCACACUCUGAGCCAGAAUUACCCAGCUAAGCUGCUCCUGAAUUCCUGACCUACAGAAAUUGCGAGGCCUAAGAGCUCCAGUACAAUUUUGAAUAGAAGUAAUAAGAAUAUAUUAUCUUGCUUCAUUCCCAAUAUUACAGGAAAAGCAUUUAGUCUCCACCAUUAGGUAUGUUUUUGCUGUAGGUUUUGUAGUUAUCUUUUAUGAGAUUGGGGGAAUUCUGUCUAGCCCACAUUUUGCUGAGAACGUUAAUGGCUAUUGGAUUUGUAAACAUUUCAAACAUUAUUUGAAGUUUGAGCAAUGACUUAAAUAUAAUUUUGAGACUUGUACCAAACACAAACAAGAGUAAUUCAUGUUUUAACAUCAUUUAUAAUUUUUCAAUGGAUUUA